rnacentral:rRNA from 1 species
UACGUAGGGCGCAAGCGUUGUCCGGAAUUAUUGGGCGUAAAGAGCUCGUAGGCGGCUUGUCACGUCGGGUGUGAAAGCCCGGGGCUUAACCCCGGGUCUGCAUUCGAUACGGGCUGGCUAGAGUGUGGUAGGGGAGAUCGGAAUUCCUGGUGUAGCGGUGAAAUGCGCAGAUAUCAGGAGGAACACCAAUGGCGAAGGCAGCUCUCUGGACCGUUACUGACGCUGAGGCGCGAAAGCGUGGGGAGCAAACAGG